rnacentral:rRNA from 1 species
GAUGAACGCUAGCGGCAGGCUUAACACAUGCAAGUCGAGGGGUAGAAGGAGCUUGCUCCUUUGAGACCGGCGCACGGGUGCGUAACGCGUAUGCAAUCUACCUUGUACAGGGGGAUAGCCCAGAGAAAUUUGGAUUAAUACCCCAUAGUGUAAUGAAAAGGCAUCUUUUUGUUACUAAAGUUCCAACGGUACAAGAUGAGCAUGCGUCCCAUUAGCUAGUUGGUGUGGUAACGGCACACCAAGGCAACGAUGGGUAGGGGUCCUGAGAGGGCGAUCCCCCACACUGGUACUGAGACACGGACUAGACUCCUACGGGAGGCAGCAGUGAGGAAUAUUGGUCAAUGGGCGCAAGCCUGAACCAGCCAUGCCGCGUGCAGGAUGACGGUCCUAUGGAUUGUAAACUGCUUUUGUACAGGAAGAAACACUCCCUCGUGAGGGAACUUGACGGUACUGUAAGAAUAAGGAUCGGCUAACUCCGUGCCAGCCGCCGCCGUAAGAC